GGGUUUUUGGUAAAAGAAAGAGAGGAAGGCAGAGAGGUUCACUGCGUGAUGUUGCUCAUGUCUUCUAUGAAGACAUGACCAUGAAGUAGCUCAGUAGUCUCGAUAUCCUCUUGCCUGACAACCACUCUCUGGCCUCUGUCUUCCAUGGAGACCUUGUUCACUAGCAAAGCCUGGGUUAGUAGUCUGUGUCCGAUGAUGCUCGUUUCCAGAUUCUUCUUUGAGAACCACAUGGACGCUGAGUGUUGCUCCUUCUCGCAGCUCCUCGCCAACAACAAGGUUGACGUUGCCUGUGAAAAAUUCAAUGAUUUUGAUAAAAGGUUGUUUCAAGGUAGAUGGUAGUGUUGAGAGCCUAGGGUUUUAACCAUCAUUGGCUGGGGGGUUUAGUUGUUGCUUGGUUGUUGGCAUUCAUGGUUUCCACUGGCUUAAGUCCUUCGAGCCCACUCAAUUCAUCCGACUUUUUUUGGCUGGGUCAGCAUGGCAUUUGUUAUCAGAUUUAAAGAGGAAGAAAAGUUUAAACUAGGAGAGGAGAUUUGGCAUCCUUAUCAGCAUGGCAGAAGGUCUAGCGUAUCUUUGUGAAGGUUUGGAGGGUCAAAAUUAUUCAGACACAUUGAAGCUAUCAAUAUUCUUCUAGACAAAGAGUGAAGCCUAUAAUAGCAGAUAUUAAGCUAGCAAGGUAUUUCUCUGAAGGUCAGAGUCAUGUCAGCACUAGCAUGGCUAAUUAAUACUCAACGUAACAAAGUAUUUUUCUGAAAGUUUUGCUCCGUGGGAACUUAACAAUACUUAAUGUUGUAAAUUAAUACAUGUGAAAGUUUCCAAGA